GCCAUCAUAGUAUAACGGUUAGUACACCAGCCUCUCACGUUGGACAUAGGGGUUCGAUUCCCCUUGGUGGUACCA
rnacentral:tRNA from 1 species